AGCUGCUUGCAUGAUCCGUUCCGUUCCAUGGAAUAAGAAAUUGGGAUGUGAUGACAAAAAUUAAAAUUAAAGGUGGCGGCAAUGCUAUCUUUUCUUUCGAGCUGCCUUCCUUGGAUUGGAGGCAGGAAAAAAAAAGAGAUCAAUUGAAACCAGGAGGAACACGAAGUCAGCGCGACGAGGAUGGUGGGAUUUGGAUACAGUUCAAUGAAUCAUCCGCUUCAUCAACCUGCCACGGAGCUGGGCCAUAUGCAUGCUUGAAGAUGAGAGGGGAACAGAAAGGCAACGAUCGAGGAGGGGGAAGAGAAAAGAUCUCUGGACUAGAGAAACGUGUGGCCAUGGUCACUCUCAAGGACGUGACUCCCUCCCGCGUGGGCCAAAGAGAAGCACCCAACUGUCAGUCUGUCACCAUUAGGGCCACUCUGAAAAACAAUCCCGGCUCCUCCUCCUGCUGCUCUGCUGCUAAUCAGACGCCACGCCACCACUUAUAUGAUGGGCUCCAUCGCCAAGAAACUGAGCCAUCCGGUCCCAAAAGUAGAAAAGGGCAAGCGACGAGCACAGCACAGCACAGCACAAGCACGCCUUCCGUUUUGGGAAGGCGAGGAGAGGGGAACCCCGGCCCAGGGAGAGUUGUGGGGAGGGGAUCGGCGGCGGAGGAGAUGGAGGAGCGGGAGAAGCUCGUGUGCCUGGCCAAGCUUGCCGAGCAGGCGGAGCGGUACGACGAUAUGGUGGAAUUCAUGAAGAAUCUUGCUAGGAUGGACGUGGAUAUGAGUGCUGAAGAAAGGCAUUUGUUCUCAGUUGGUUUCAAGAACACUAUUGGAGCAAAGAGAGCAUCAUGGAGAAUCAUUUGUUCACAUGAGCAAAAGGUCGCAGCUGAUCGUCAGACUGGUGUGAUGAUAGAUGCCUAUAAGAAGAAAGUAGAAGAGGAACUAAGGAAGGUUUGCAAUGAAGUAUUGUCAGUCAUUGCUAUUCACUGCCUUCCCUUGGCCAGUACGGGUGAAAAUAUCGUAUUCUUUUAUAAGAUGAAAGGUGACUACUACCGUUACUUGGCUGAAUUUAGCACUGGAACUGAAAAGAAAGCUGCCUCUGAUCAGUCACUUAUGGCCUAUCAGAGCUUGCCAAGUGGCAAAACAAGCAUUUGAUGAGGCUCUUACUGAGAUAAAUUCUGGUGAGGGAGUUUACAAGGAUAGCACACUUAUGAUGCAGCUUCUGAAGGACAACUUAGCAUUGUGGACAUCAGAACUAACUGGGGGUGAAGCAUCCAAGGGUAACGGCGAUGUCGACAUGGAGGGUUGAUACAUUCUCCAUGUUUUAAGGAAACACAGAACGCACGCAAAAAUAUCCAGGCUGUGAUGCUAGCGAACCUGGGUCCUCAAGUUUUUUCUGCAUCGGAACUAAGAAGAGCCUUGUGUAUUUUUCUGAAGUUUCUGUCCGUCUCGGGGUUUUUUUUUUGAGGUCUGUUUGUUCCUCUCUUUUGGCCAUCGUUUGGUCCUGGAGUCAGUCACUCACUACCAAGUGUUUCAGAGGUCUGAACUGGUGAGCAUCCAGAUCUGUUGUUGCUUUUUUUUCCUUCUGUGCUUCAGAGGCAUCUUUGUACACCGAUGGAAAACUGUUUCUCUUAUCAACGCA